AUUAGAGAGGAGGAGGGAGAACCAGUCUAGUACAGCUACAUUAGAGAGGAGGAGGAGGAGGAGGAGGAAGAGGAGGAGGAGGAGGAGGAGGAGGGAGAACCAGGAGAACCAGUUAGGUGUAGCGACAUUAGAGAGGAGGAGGAGGGAUUACCAGUCAAGCAUAUAUACAUUAUAGAGAAUAGGAGAAGGGAAAACCAGUACAGCAUACAUACAUUAGAGAGGAGGAGAGAGAACCAGUCUAGUAUAGCUACAUUAGAGAGGAGGAGGGAGAACCAGUCUAGUGUAGCGACAUUAGAGAGGAGGAGGAGGGAUUACCAGUCAAGCAUAUAUACAUUAUAGAGAAUAGGAGAAGGGAAAACCAGUACAGCAUACAUACAUUAGAGAGGAGGAGAGAGAACCAGUCUAGUAUAGCUACAUUAGAGAGGAGGAGGGAGAACC
ensembl:lncRNA